rnacentral:misc_RNA from 1 species
GAAAUGCGAUAAGUAAUGUGAAUUGCAGAAUUCCGUGAAUCAUCGAAUCUUUGAACGCACAUUGCGACCUCUGGCAUUCCGGGGGGCAUGCCUGUCCGAGCGUCAUUACGCACCCUCAAGCCCGGCUUGUGUGAUGGGCCCCGGCGUCUCGUUCGCGAGACGGGCCCGAAAGGCAGCGGCGGCGUCGACCCGAUGAGCCCGAGCGUAUGGGGACUUCUGUCACACGUUCGCGGUGCGGACCGGCGCCUGCUUGACUUUUCUGAUUAUCCAGGUUGACCUCGGAUCAGGUAGGGAUACCCGCUGAACUUAAGC